GACGAACGCUGGCGGCGUGCUUAACACAUGCAAGUCGAACGGAAAGGCCCUGCUUUUGUGGGGUGCUCGAGUGGCGAACGGGUGAGUAACACGUGAGUAACCUGCCCUUGACCUUGGGAUAACUUCAGGAAACUGGGGCUAAUACCGGAUAGGAGCUCCUGCUGCAUGGUGGGGGUUGGAAAGUUUCGGCGGUUGGGGAUGGACUCGCGGCUUAUCAGCUUGUUGGUGGGGUAGUGGCUUACCAAGGCUUUGACGGGUAGCCGGCCUGAGAGGGUGACCGGCCACAUUGGGACUGAGAUACGGCGCAGACUCCUACGGGAGGCAGCAGUGGGGAAUAUUGCACAAUGGGCGGAAGCCUGAUGCAGCAACGCCGCGUGCGGGAUGACGGCCUUCGGGUUGUAAACCGCUUUCGCCUGUGACGAAGCGUGAGUGACGGUAAUGGGUAAAGAAGCACCGGCUAACUACGUG
rnacentral:rRNA from 1 species